GGAUGGAUGGAUAAAGAAAUCUGAAUAUACUGUGCUGCUAAUUGUACAAAAUUCUAUUUGUACAACUGAUACUAACAUUUUCUUGUUGUUUAACAUGUAUAUGAAGUUAUGAAAAAUUCCUAUGCAACUAAACAAUUUGUGGAAUUACAUAAAAAUAAUAAUUAAAAUAAAUGUCAAAAUAAUCAUUGCUUUUUAAAGGUUUCAGUGGACAGAGUUCAAGUGAUGAUGAUAGUGUGGUUCAUGUAAGGUUGCCAUCUCAAGAUAGUCCACUAUCUGACACUGUGGUGUGGGAUGGUCCAGAUGAAGCAAGCACUCCAAGACUGGAGAAAAUUUUGAAUGGGCCUUUUGGACACACAGAACAAGGGUCUGAUCAGGAUGGCGGAAACACCAACGUCCAGGAGCAUCCCAUGUCCUCAGAGGGCCAGAACCACUUCUAUCGCAACUACACAAAUGUGUACGCACCAAUAAUUGUUGACAGCGACUCUGAGCCGGAUGAAUAUGUGAUGCAGUUCCCUGAGCAAAGUACAGACAACGUGACUGCUGCAGACAUCAUUUCAGAGCUCUCGGCAAUGAUCACGUCAUCAUCUCUCAGCCGCUUUAACAUAAACAGAGCCAAUGUAUGGGAUGGAGCACUGAGAGGUUUCAAGCGGGCUUCUUUCAACCCUUUCAAUGAAAUAUUUGUAAAAUUCACCGAUGACGAGGGACAGGCAGAAGACGGCGUUGAUAACGGUGGUCCCAAGCGCGAGUUUCU